CUCCGGCCGCCUGGCCGCGGGAUUUUCCGGUUGAUCCUGCCAGAGGUCACUGCUAUCGGGGUUCGAUUAAGCCAUGCGAGUCGAGAGGGUUCGGCCCUCGGCGUACUGCUCAGUAACACGUGGAUAACCUGCCCUAGGGGAGGGGAUAACCCCGGGAAACUGGGGAUAAUACCCUAUAGGUUACAGAUGCUGGAAUGCCCUGUAACCAAAAGCUCCGGCGCCCUAGGAUGGAUCUGCGGCCGAUUAGGUUGUUGUUGGGGUAACGGCCCAACAAGCCCGUAAUCGGUACGGGUUGUGGGAGCAAGAGCCCGGAGUUGGAUUCUGAGACACGAAUCCAGGCCCUACGGGGCGCAGCAGGCGCGAAACCUUUACAAUGCGGGCAACCGUGAUAAGGGAACCUCGAGUGCCUGUAAACGCAGGCUGUUCAGGUGUUUAAAACGCACCUGGAGAAAGGGCCGGGCAAGACCGGUGCCAGCCGCCGCGGUAAUACCGGCGGCUCGAGUGGUGGCCGCUUUUAUUGGGCUUAAAGCGUUCGUAGCUGGGUUGUUAAGUCUCUUGGGAAAUCUGGCGGCUUNACCGUCAGGCGUCUAANGGAUACUGGCAAUCUUGGAACCGGGAGAGGUGAGGGGUACUUCGGGGGUAGGGUGAAAUCCUGUAAUCCUCGAGGGACCACCUGUG
rnacentral:rRNA from 1 species